rnacentral:rRNA from 1 species
AUUGAACGCUGGCGGCAUGCCUUACACAUGCAAGUCGAACGGUAACAGGUCUUCGGAUGCUGACGAGUGGCGAACGGGUGAGUAAUACAUCGGAACGUGCCCGAGAGUGGGGGAUAACGAGGCGAAAGCUUUGCUAAUACCGCAUAAGAUCUCAGGAUGCAAGGAGGGGACCGCCAGGCCUUGCGCUUCCGGAGCGGCCGAUGGCAGAUUAGGUAGUUGGGGGGAUAAAAGCUUACCAAGCCGACGAUCUGUAGCUGGUCUGAGAGGACGACCAGCCACACUGGGACUGAGACACGGCCCAGACUCCUACGGGAGGCAGCAGUGGGGAAUUUUGGACAAUGGGCGCAAGCCUGAUCCAGCCAUGCCGCGUGCAGGAUGAAGGCCUUCGGGUUGUAAACUGCUUUUGUACGGAACGAAAAGACUCCUUCUAAUAAAGGGGGUCCAUGACGGUACCGUAAGAAUAAGCACCGGCUAACUUCGUGCCAGCAGCCGCCGUAACAC